AGCUCCAAUAGCGUAUAUUAAAGUUGUUGUGGUUAAAAAGCUCGUAGUUGGAUCUCAACAGCCUUGAAGCGGUUAACUUUGUAGUUUUACUGCUUUGUAGGCUGUGCUUUUGCUGGAGGUUUAGGGGUGCUCUUGAUCGAGUGUCUCUGGAUGCCAGCAGGUUUACUUUGAAAAAAUUAGAGUGCUCAAAGCAGGCUAAAAUGCCUGAAUAUUCGUGCAUGGAAUAAUAGAAUAGGAUGUCGAUCCUAUUUUGUUGGUUUUCGGGACUCGACAUAAUGAUAAAUAGGGACAGUCGGGGGCAUUUGUAUUCAAACGACAGAGGUGAAAUUCUUGGACCGUUUGAAGACAAAAGAAGGAGAAAGAAGGGGACAAGAAGGGGGGAA
rnacentral:rRNA from 1 species